rnacentral:RNase_P_RNA from 1 species
CGAGCUGGCCGGGCGGCCGCGUGACCGGGGAACCGGUCCCGAGGAAGGUCCGGGCUCCACAGGGCAAGGUGGUGGGCAACACCCACCCGGGGUGACCCGCGGGAACGUGCCACAGAGAACAGACCGCCUCCGGUCCUCCGGGACCGGCGGUGAGGGUGAAACGGUGGUGUAAGAGACCACCAGCGUCCCGGGUGACCGGGACGGCUAGGCAAACCCCACCAGGAGCAAGAUCAAGAGGGUGGCUCCGCGCGAGCGGGACCACCUGCGUGAGCGUUCGAGGGCGGCCCGCCCGAGUUCGCGGGUAGAUCGCCAGAGACCGCCGGCGACGGUGGUCCUAGAUGGAUGGUCGCCCCUCGCCGCAAGGCGAGGACAGAACCCGGCCUACAGGCCAGCUCGUCCC